AGUAUCUCAGUCUCACAACCUCCAGUGGCAGACAGAUGGAUAGAGAGCUAUGUAAUCAUCAACAGAAGCCUGUGAUAUUUUGUCCUCACAUAUCAUCAUGUGGAGAAGCUCCAACGGCCUUUUGUCUGCUUGCUGAAAUGAUGUGUGGUUGGCGCAAAGCUUAUUACUCUAAUUGAGCUUUUAUCAAGACAAAACCUUUACAGAAAGGGCAAUUUUAUCCCAAAGACACCUUGGAUUAAUUCACCAGUUUUCCCCAUGACAGCAGAGGAAAUGGGGAUGAGUGGACUUACCAAAACAGUGAGAACAUAUUGUUUGCACACAGUGUCAUCCAAAGCCCUCCAGCUAUCAAACGAUUGCCAGAUAUGUUUAUUAAACCCCCUGUGCUUGGAAUGAACACAGAAAACUGUCAUCUGGAGCAAGAGGAAAGUGCCUAUCGCAGCUGGAGAUCUCGCUGUUAUGAAUAAAGGAAGAGUUUUGUGGUACAGUUGUGAGAUGUAAAGAGAAAGGCUUCCCUAUUGUGCAAAUGUGUCGGAACCCUCAGGCAAGAGAAAUAUUAAAUUGUUUCUGGUAGUACAAUGUAAUUACUGAGUUAGAUAAGGAAUAAUAUCUGGUCUAUGUUUAGAUAAAGAGAGAUAUCAAACUCACUGGCUGGCCUUACACUGCUGGGAACUAAAAUUCCCAGCAUUCUUAGCUGGAUACAGUAGUUCCCAACAACUUCUUUUUAUUAGCUGGAUGUAGAAUAUUUUGAUUACAGUGCAAUACAGCAACUUUAGAUAUAAUAGCAGCUCAAGGCAAUUGUAUAAUAAAUAGUGCGCUACUGAUGAUACUGGAACUUCUUUCUAGGAUUCUACGAUGGGAAUUCUCAAAUGAAAUGAAAGGGGUGAUUCACCCUUAAGUUAACAUACAUGUAGUAUGUUAUAGAAUGGCUAAUUCUAAGCAACUUUUCAACCAGGUCC